AUUUACCUAUUAUAUAGAAGUAACUCUAACUUCCAAUUAGAUAGACCCUCAGUGGGGGUAAAUA
rnacentral:tRNA from 1 species